rnacentral:rRNA from 1 species
GGGUGAGUAAUAUAUCGGAACGUACCUAGUAAUGGGGAACAACCAAUCGAAAGGUUGGCUAAUACCGCAUACGACCUACGGGUGAAAGCAGGGGAUCGUAAGACCUUGCGUUAAUGGAGCGGCCGAUAUCUGAUUAGGUAGUUGGUAUGGUAAAGGCCUACCAAGCCGACGAUCAGUAGCUGGUCUGAGAGGACGAUCAGCCACACUGGAACUGAGACACGGUCCAGACUCC